CGACUUCAUUUUACACUUUGGCCCCGAUAAAAUACGUUGAUAACAUGGUGGUGUUAUUUGCUUGUACGAUGUUUAUGUACUUUGAGAAAAGGUUGUGCGGUGUUGUUAAGAGGAUUCAUUUUAGUCCAUUAUACUCGGAAACGUCCACAGAAUCGUCAUGUUUGGACGCUUCAUAACUAUAACAGUUAUCUGCGUU